UUUGUCCCUCAGAAGUUAGGGGACAUUCCUCAAUCACAAGCCUUGGGCGUCUUUGUCCACUGGGUGCUGCCGAAUUCUUUGGGCUGUAACAGAGGAAAUAUGUUCAUGGUUGGAGGCCAGUUGCUGUUUUUCAGCUAAUAUGCUCAGUGAAAAUGAGUGAGCAACUCACAAACAGGGUCAAGACAAAGAGAACUGUCACCCACACCUGCCUCUUUUUUGAACAGCAUGCUUACCUUAAUUUCAAGCGCGAUAGCACCACUCUGUAUAGGUAACUUGCAGGAAUGAAAACAAAGAGAAUGAUCCUGGACUUUGAAGAAACAGCUGGACUUCCUUGUAAACAGCCCAGCUCUGCUUGUUGGUGUGGCAAUUCUGUGAUUCAUUUGAUUUUACUCUUUAGUAUUUUGACUAUCAACUCUGAUUUCUAAACAAAGGAACUGAAAAACUGUAACAAAAUGGAAGCAACUCUUAAGACUAAGGAAUGAAACAUAACCUAAACUUAUUUUUAGAAUUAUAUACUAAUCCUUAAAAAAUUUAAAGAAAAUUAUUUACUGCAGGAAGUGGAAAUGCCUUAGCGUGAUACAAAAGAAUCUUCAAAGUCUGGCCUCUGCCUCUUGAUUCAGCCUCCGCUCGUGUUAGUCUUUCUCUUACAUGUCUUGCUUUGGGAUGCUGGAAGGACUUGGAAUUUCUGAACCUGCCACUCUGUUUCAUGCCACCAGACCUUCAUUUCCUUCCCUAUUCUCCCAGCCUGAGUUAAUUAUUCCUUCCUCUGAGCUGCAUGUCCUACUACUGGUGCCCUUAUCAGAUUGUAUUAUAGUUAUUUGUUUAUGUGUCUUGGUUGUUAGAGAAUUUCUUAAGGUAAGGAACCUAUCGUAUUCAUGCCUUUCUGUGUCUAGCAUGUUCCUUAGGUCACUAUGUUAAAUUGGAAAUACUGCCCAUAAGGAGAAUUAAGAAAUGAAGUUAUUGCAUAAAAAGAGGCAAGCAAUCGAGAUUAGCUGGUGGAAAUAAAAAAAGUUAGGCUAGCAAUUUCAGGAACAAUUGUUCACAUUAUCUAGGCUUUGGAGAAAAGAGACAGAACGGAGAAAAACAUAGGCAGUGACGUGGAAUUUGUAAAAAUUCUUUUGAUCAUGGAAGUGGGGAUGGUUAAGAACAUAGUGAGAAUCCAAAUAAAUAGAGUUAAAGGUCAUAUUCACUUCAGGAGUCUCUAGCAUAAGGCUCCACUGCAUGUUCCUCAUUUUAAUGAUAUUACAAUGAGAAAAAGCCAUGUUGCAAAUGAAGAAAAAAUACUGAGAGGUGGAACUACAUGGGAAUUAAUUAGCUCCAUCUUUGAAUGAAAUCCGGAAAGAAAUUUGGGAGAAGACUGUACCACUAAUAAUGAUUUAAUGAAGGAGAAGAAUGUGGCUUUUAUUCAGAAAAGUUCACAUGAGCUUGUGGGCUUGGGAGGACUUCUGCAUACUGCUGGUCUUGCUGCUCUUGCUGACUUGUUUGAAGUCACUGUCAGGGCAUAUGCCUCAUGUUGCCUCACCUCAUCUACCUUGGCAUCACUGGUUGGAAGGAAACUCCAGAAAUCAAGAACUCAGGGUUGGGAAAAGUCCACCCUCCUGGAGCUUUGGGUUACUUUUGGGUUAGACUUCCGGGAAAUUUAGGCAGGUCAACACUCUGUUCUUUGCAAUCUUACCAUCAUCCCAGAUAGUGAAGAACUGCAAAAGCCCACACAAAAAAGGCACUUAGGAAGUUCAAAGAGGCACUUAAGAUGCUACUGCAUAUCCAUUAUUUGAAAGUAUUUCAAUUGUUCUGUAUUUUUACCAGAUACUCAGCAGUUAGUAAUUAAUUUUAUUUCAUUAUUUUAGUUCCAUAGUAACCCCUUCACCACCCAAUUAAAUGUCAUUUGGAGUCGGAUUGUAGUAAUGGCUGCACAACAAAGUGAAUGUAUGUAACGUCACUGAACUGUACACUUACUGAUAGUUAAAAUGGUAAAUUUCAUGUCAUGUAUGUUUUACUAUAAUAAAAAGAUACAUAAUAUAUGUUAACAUGUAUAAAAAUUGUAGUAAAAACAAAAUUUUGUCAUUUUAACCAUUUUUUAGUGUACAGUUCAGUAGUGUUAAGUAUACAUGCAUUAUUGUGAAACAAAUCUCCAGAACUUUUUCAGCUUGAAAAAGUAAAACCCUAUACCCAUUAAACAACUAUCCAUUACUUCCUGUCCUCAGACCCUGGUAACCAUCAUUCCACUUUCUUUUGCUAUGAAUUUGACUGCGUUAGGUGCCUCAUAUAAGAGGAAUCAUAUUGACACAAAAUCAUAUGGACACAAAAGUCCAUAGAUUGUGGUUGAUAACUUAAAAAAUAUGAGUAGAGGUGAGCACUUGAUUUUUGUGAAAGUGUGUCUUCGUAAAUUGUAAACUUCACUCUAAGAAUAAGGGAUGUGCCUUGGCUUGGGAAUCCUCCUUGUAUUUUUACAACACUGUAGGCCUUUUUGUGACUGACUCAUUUCACUUAGUGUAAUGUCCUCAAGGUUCAUCCCCGCUGUAGCAUGUUACAAGAUUUCCUUCCUUUUUAAGAUUGAGUAAUAGUCCAUUGAAUAUAUAUACCACAUUUUGUUUAUCCAUCUGUCAUGAACAUGUGGAUUGUUUCCACCUCUUGACUAUUGUGAAUAAUGUUGUUGUUAACAUGGGUGUGUAAAUAAAUCUUUGAGAUCCUG